CGACGAGGCGCGAGGGCGGUGGCGGCGGGAGGCGGGGGCUGGCGAGGCGCUGAGGGAAGGGUGCGGGGGGCGGAGAAAAUCGAUGGCGACAGGCCGGCGUCGCGCCUGGGGUGGCAGGGAGGCUGCCUCUUGUCAGGCCCCGCUCCUCUUCGCUGCCCGCGGGCCGCGCCAGGGGACGGGAGCCAAGCGCUACAGAGACCGGGGCAGCGCUGCCCACGGGAGGUGGGAGAGCUUGCAAUGGAAGAGAAACGUCUACAAACAAGCAAGCAUGACUUCAAAAACAUCAGAAGGGAGUUUCACUGGCACGUCUAGAACCUGAAAAAUUGAAUGCUUCACAAACCACUUCCAGCUGCUGGUGUGUUGGAGAACAAGUACAGAAGCAGGAAAUAGAGGAGGUUAAUUAUGCUUCACCUGUGUGAAAUGACUGCUGAGGUAAUGCAGGUGUGAUACUUGCAAAGGUUUGUAAGAAGCGAAAUGUUUCUUGCCUAUAGUCACCCAAGUAUCCUGUCACAUGGACAGGACUAGCCAUGAUGGCUAGUAGCAUUUAUGGCUGAGCAAAAUGCAGUCAUCUAAAAAUACCCUAUCAAAAGGAGCUGCAAACUUUACAAGAGUAGAAAUGCCUGGGAUGGACAUCAAAACACGUGCUGAAUCAUGCCGUAGGGUCGGUUACGCUGGCAGUGGUAGGCUAUCUCCCACUAGAUCUAAGUUUGCUUUCUAAGAUUUAGAGAUUGUUGCAAACAAGGAAGCUUAAUUUAGAGUUUAAAAAAAUACAGUAUUUGGCUAACAUGAACUGUUUGGGGAACAUAUUUGUUAUUGUUAUGUUCAUAAAUUUAGAUGUGUCUUAACUCUUUUUUGAUUUUUUUUUUUUCCAUAGCUACUGACUAAGUCGUGGCUCAUUUAACAUCCAUGCAAAAAUAUUUCAUGUCACCCAUUUUGAGAUUGCCACUAUCAAGUUCCUGUUUCUUGUACAGUAAGACAGGAGAGCAGGUGUUUUUGUGUUUAACUCUUGACAUUAUUCCCUGAUUGCUUUUGUCCUGUCAUUUGCUAUCUUCCUAGGAUAAAUAAUCCAAAUCUAUCAAAAUACUGUUUUUUUAUAAAAGCCUUUUCCCCCAAACAUGCCCACAGACAGAUUCAUCCAUAUCACUUUUUCUGAGGUAGGAUGUACUGUAUACUAUGCCAGAGGAGAAAAUAAAUUCCUUUAUGUUUAGAUAUUCUAUUACUUGGUAUUAACCAGUAUGUUAUUUAUUCCCUCUGUGUUCUAUUAGCUUAUUUGUUUUCUGACUACAGCUUUGUGAGGAUUAGAGAUAGCACACGGAUAUUUACCUAAAAGCCCAGUUUCUGCUUUUCAGUUGACAUAAACGAAUUAAAACCUGUCAUACUCAGCAGCAGUACUUGGGUUCCUCUCCACAUGCAUUAUUUUGCAUUUUCAAUAUGGGACUUAAUUCAUCAUUACAUGAUCCAUUCCAUUUUGUUAGGUCUUCGCCCUCAAUACAGUCCUCUCUUGUCUUGCUUAGCUGAAAUAAUUGUGGCAGCUGCAAAUUUUACUAUCUUACAGUACAGCACUCUUUCUAAAUCAGUGGUAAAUACAGCAGCAAUAUGCAACAUGCAACAGAGCCCUGAAGCAGGCUGUCAUUAACCUUCUGCCAUUGCAGAAACUCACUGUUGAAUUCUGCUCUUUGUUUUCCAUCUCCACCAAAAUCUCUUUGGUUUUAGGGUGGGGUUUUUUUAAUGCUUUCAAAUAAUUUCAGCACAUGGAUCAGCCAGAAAUUAUUUUGCUUUGCAGAAAAGUCUAGUUAGGCCUAAUUUCUGAUGCAGAAAUUUUCUUCUGUAUGCUUGUUUUUUUAUUUGUGUACUUUUAGUGACUGUUUCACCCAAAGAAGAGAAGAUGCAAUCCAAGCUUUCCAGCAACUGAGGAUAUUUGUUUGGCCUCUUUUUGAACAUAUCAACACGGUGUCAACAUGUCAGACAGGGGUUUUAAUGUGAGUGCAGGUGAUUAUUUCCCUCCAUCACUCCAGGACCCAGCUUCCCCAGGCAGACGUGCUGCAUGGGCAUCAGCUUAUGGUGCACCCAUCAGCUGUCCUUGGGGAACCCACAGCCAGAGGAGAGGGGUGAGCGGCCCCUGACUGACACCCUCCAGGAAGCAGCCAUAAGGAUAAAGCUUUCCUGAGUGCACAAGCACGUCUUCUUCUCACCACAGAGCAUGGCCUCGACGUUGCUGGGGUUAAUUUAACUGCUGAAUCCUGUGUUGGCUGCUCUCUGUGAUGAGUGAGUAGGUGGGCUGUGGCCAUCUGUGCCAGGGAUGCCAGCAGCGUUCUGGUUGUCAUCGAGAAACACAGGCAGGAUUCUCCUUGGGAGUCUAUUUUUGUGUAUUUCCUUUGUCCCCCUGUAGGACCGAGCCUCCUAGUGACACAUGAAUUUAGUACAUAUGCUACGGCUGCCAGCCUGACAAACGUCCAGCCUCUUUCUCUCUGAAAUCUAAUAUAUUCCUGUUCGUAGUGAUGGUAACUGUUUGCUGUUCUUUAGUAUUUUUCCUGCUUAAGUUUUUCCAAUGCGUAGUUUCUUUGUAACUGUUUUGGAACUAAUUUUCCCUGCUUCAAGAAGCUGCUUGGAAAUCAGCAGUCUGUUAUUUAUUGUUGUACCUACUAUGCUGAAUUGCUGGUCCUAGUGAGAAAAAAAAACCCACUAAGAAGUAGGCUAUGAUAUUUUAACAGUGUUAAGGAUAGAUCUCUUCAAACCACUUGGGUGAUUUUUUGCUGAGCCCUUUACUAUUUGGACUAUUUUUUCUUUCUUGUUAAUUUAAUUGCUCAUAUAUAGGAUAGGCUUGAUGAACUGACAAAUGAAAGACUUGCCAAAAUCAAUCACAUAUGAAUUAUAGGCCAUCAUGAGCUAUUAACUUGGUUGAAUCAAAUGGUAAUCAAGUUGCAAUUUACAGUAUUACCGUAUUGUUCACACAUAGCAUGGUGCUUCUGCUUUUAUGAAACUUAGUAAUCCACUCAAGGAAAUUAUUUUUUUGCAUGAGUCAACUCUACCUGUGCCUAUCAUCUUAGACCAAGAGUGAUUAGAAAUCUCUCUUGUUUGCCAGUGCUUCACUUGUGGUAUUUAUAUAUAUAUAUAUAUAUAUAUGUAUAUAUGUAUAGUUUUGGUACUUGAACACCAGUGUGUAUACACAGCAGGAGCAGGCUUGUUUUCUUUAUACUGUUCUUACCUUUCUAGGAUGUACAUGGGCACUGUGAUUUAUGGGGACCCCAAGUUUUAUGGAAGUAUGAUCUACUCUUUGUACAAAAUCUCACCAAAUUUAAUCUCUAUAGCCCUGUUUCUUUGAAUUUAUUUGCAUUUUGUUAAUGAGUUUGAAGCUUAAUCAUAGUUAACUUCAUGUUUUUCUUCCAAAGUUAUUAAUAGCUCUUUACCAUAUCCUCUUUCCACACUGAAGAACAAUUAUUUUUGAUCAUUUUCUGGUUCAUCAGGUGGGGAUUCUUUGCCCAGUAUUAAAAGGCAGUUUAAGGAGAACUGAAAAUUUGUUUAUCGGGAUAGAUCAUAAAUAGAAGAUUUUAUAGUCUUUGCUGUCUUGGCUACUGUACAAGUAUCGUGUUCUAACUAAAAUGUCAAAAUGAUCACAGAAAUAAAAUGCCCUCCAAGCAAGAAUAUAAUGUGUUUUAUUCACAAGACAAAAUCAUGCGGAGGGCGGGAUAGAAAAUAUUAUGAGACACAUUGGUUUAUUACUUUUGUGAAAACAGAUACCAAACCAUAACACUAUUAGAGAAGUGAUUCUCAGCUAGUGGGUCAAAAUCCAUUUCUGAGUCACCAUGGAUUUCUGCUGAGGGUGGAAGCAAGCUGGCAUUAUUUGAAUGUUGGAAUAUAAAGAAAAAAUCCUUGGAGAGUAACUAAAAAACAAACCAAACCAAACACUGCCCCCACCCCGCAAACAAUACCAAAAACCCCAGAACAAGCAAACAAGCACCAACCAAAACAAAAACAAAAAAAAAAAAAAAAAAAAAAAAAAAAGAAAAAAAAACAACCAAA